rnacentral:misc_RNA from 1 species
AAAUUUAUUGCAGAUGAUGAUGAUUUGCACAGUACCUAAAGGGAGGAGGGGUAUAAACUUGCGAUAUAAGCUUAAAUUAUUCAGUUCUUUUUUUGACUUUGGAACCUCGAUCUCCGAUAAGAAGAAUGACUUUUGCCCAAAUUCUGGAAACCUGCUGACAAGCAUCCUAUAAGCACAAUUUUGGUUCUCAGUCUUCAUCCACUCAUCCAGUAGACUAUGACCAGCCUGCUAACCUAUAUACACAUAACAACAUAAGGUUUACAAAAUGAUAACCACAGGCACCCUAUAGCACAAGAAUGCAGCUCUGAAAACAUCAGCUUUCCUAACAGGGAAACCCAACUCAUACACCAUGCAAGAGAAUCUGACUGCAGCAUUAAAAUGAGUCUUCACAAUAUAUUGUGGCAAGUGGCAACCACUCGAGUCCAGCAAGUCAAGAAAAUAAGGAGCACAUGAUUACUUCAACAGAAGAAAGUAAUCAUUUUCAUGGCAUUCAGGAGAUGAACGGUGACAGUACCUUGACUGAUCUUCUAUUGACAGCAGUCCAGGCUGUUGAAGAUUCCAACUAGCCUCAUGCUACAUAGUCGCAAAAAUUUGCAACCACGCAUAGGCUUGUUCCUGCGCGGAAAAUUUGCAUGUUUACGUUCCAUAUGCUCCUUCCCAUGAGUAAAAUUUGUGUAAUUCACUGCCAAUCAAGCAAUCCUUGAGGCAACCAAAGUAGAAUGUGAGAUUCAAGUUCUUGAUCUUGACAUCAUGGAAGGAAUCCAGUGGUGAGCGCUCAAGCAAGAUCUUGUACAGAGUAAGAAUUUCUUUAAGAAUAGCUGCAAUUGUUGGGGGCCCACAAAAUGCAGCUUUGAUUAAAGUUUGCAAAAUAAGUCUCGUCUUACUUCCAGGCAUCAAAUGGUGAUGGAAAAUGAAGAGGACUUAAAUCAGGUUGAAGUGGGCCACAGAAAGGUAGCUAACUAUAAAUGAUCCAACAGUUUCACACGACCAGCAGAAACUAGUCAAUAAUGAAGACUUUCUUAAAUGGUGCGAGUUAAAUUAUCCCCAAAAUUGGUGAUGUUAGUUGCAGAUCUAUCAAAUUCUGUAGAGUUUUCCUCUGUCCUUGGUAGAGUUAUGCGAUGCCAUCCAACAUUUACACUGCACUUUAUAAUUCAGGGGCACAAAGCUUCACUAUUGAGAGGUAUAGAAUGUUCCAAUAUGGCUUAGGAUUGUUGAUAGCAUAGGAAAUUUUCGAAUGGUGAAAGAAAAACUGUAGUAUAGGGAAUUUUCGAUUGGAGAAAGAAAAAGUGUUUCUGGGAGCCUUUAUCCCUGUGUGAGUUAAUGAUGUUUAUCAAGCUGAGCCAUUGAUUUGUCUUUUUGGUGGGGGGUACUGGGCAACAUGAAUAU